GGACUGAUUAGCUCAUUGGUUUGAGCACCGUGCCGACAACAAUGACCGACACCAAGGUCGUGGGUUCGAUUCCCGCUUGGUCCC
rnacentral:tRNA from 1 species